ensembl:snRNA U6 U6 spliceosomal RNA
GCGCUUGCUCGGCAGCACAGACACUAAAACUGGAACAUUCAGAGGAAAUUAGCUCGGCCCCUGCGCAGGGAAGACAUGCAAAUUCGUGAAGUUAAAAAAAAAAAU